ACUUGCGCCCGCCGGCCCGCCGUUCUGAAAGUAGAUGUUUCCAGGUCUCAAAUCCAUCUUGAUUACAAGGAGUGCCUUAUCCCAGAGGAUAUAGAGUUGUUUUGAGGGCUUAAUUUCCUGGAAUAAUAGGCACAAGGCACAAGACUCUGAAAUAUAGUGUCUGGUGUUUGACCUGAGCAAGGAACAACCCAUAGGGAAGAGAUUCUUCUAACAAUGGUAAUGCUGUUGGGCAGGUUCCAGCAUGCAAGGCUGACUGGAAUCAGUACGGUCCAGAGUAGGAGUUCUACUUCAAAACAUAUAGAAGUUACCACUUACUUUGUGCUAAGAGAGCUGAUGGGAAUAGACAACAUUAUAAGAAAAGCCUAUUUAAAUGAUAUGAGGAGAUCCAUUAUCAAAAUCAGAGGAGAAGAUGGAUGGAGAAACAUAUCCAUAUCAGAAUAUAUCUUCAUGGAAAACUGGCUGAGCCACCACCGUCACAGGGAAAAUGGACCUUACAUCCAGAGAUUUUUUACAAAGGCUUAGCAAGAUGGGGAUGCCUCUUUGUUAACUUGUUCACAACAGCAUACAACAAGUGAAGGACAUCACCGUAUGGAGUCAUGACUGAAAGGCACGAGUACCUUUUUCAGCACUAUCCAAGAUAGCGUACAAGAUAAGGUACUCAAGUCAUGGGUGAUUCUAAUCAUCUCAUCCUGGACCAGUGAACUGUGGUUCUCUACCCUAGUGUACUGUAGGUAAGAAGACACCUGCGGAACCUCCCCAAAUACCUGGAUAUCCUGUCUCAAAGUCUGCAUCUAGAUAUUGAAUUGAGCAUUUCUUGAACACAGAUGUUUCAGAUUCAGCAGUAGAGGCCAGGCUCUAUCAGUUGACUUGAUAUGCUUUUGGACAGGAAUGCAAAAAGCAGACAUUUUUGGCAUCAGCAACAGGAGUCCCCGAACUAUUGGGCUUCUUGCCUGCCUGCAUGGUCAUCCAGCUGCUUUAGAACUCAUGCUGCUUGAAAGCCAAGAGGCACUGCACUUUUUUUCCACCUGAUUCUAUUGUUCCCUACAUGGAUUUAUUAUUGGCACUCAGGAAACUAAUGACUGCCCCCUUCAAUCCCAUCUGACAGAUUCCCAUUAACAUUCUUUCCUAGAAGAUUGCUUUCUUGAUAGUCCUACAGAGCAACUAAGGGUUGGGGAUCUAAGGAUGUUCUUGGGGGAUAGAUGUUGCACUAAAACCAUGUAGUCUAGAGCCAGAUCCCCACAUUAUAUCCAGGGCAAUUCCAAAUCCCAUUGAUCCUAAGAAAUUGUGCGUCACACUGAUAACUAUUUUAAGAUAUUGCAAUCAGUCAGGAGGGUAGAGCCAUUGUGAAAUAAGAUUCUCAAAAGAUUUUUUCUUCAUCUUAAUUAAUAUUCAGAUUUUGCAAUCUAAACAAAUUAUUACCUCUCCCCUGGAAAAAAUAUUUUGUGCUUUCCUCUUCUUAAAAAAUAAGCAUUUAAUAGCAAAGCAAGAAGGGAUAAAUCUGGUUUUAUUCUUUUCCUGUAUUUAUCCCAGAGAGUCAAUACAUAGCUUAUUAUUGCAUGAACUUUUAUAAAUUGUUUGGGUUUUUUGCCUCAAAUCAGAAAUAUUUGUGCAAAUCAUCUGAAAAUCCUGCUCUUCUGUAGAAGUGGCUAGGCCAUGAGGAGAUACAAUCCACUCGGUAAUCCAUGUUGAACAACUGGCAUGGUAAUACAGUUUAAAAUUAGGAACAACCAGUUCACCACACCCUUCUGAAUCCUAUAGAAUCUUUAAUUUAAUCCUUGGUCUUUUAUUGGACCAUAUAUAGCUUAUUAAUUGUUUAUGUCAGUAAUUUAAUACCUUGUUUUCAAUAUGUAUUGGGAUCAUUAGGAACAUAGAGUUAGGUUUUGGUAAAAUAUUUAUUUUAAUGGAUUCAAAUCUUCCUAGAUAAGACAAUUUUUCUUUUUUCUUUUUUUCCAUCUGGAAAUGUCUGCUGUUACAUUUUUUCAGAUCUGCAAAUAAUUAUUUUUAAAUAAGUCAUUACUGGUUUUUGUGAAAUUUCAAUUGUGAAAUUUCCUAAAGAAAUUAUUUUUGUUGCAAUAAUCUCAACCCCUGUUAUUAGGCAUUGCUUUUCUUUCUCUGAUAAGUUCCAUGCCAACAUUUGGGUUUUAAUUUUAUUAAUCUGGUAACCUGACGAAGAAUUCUACUGCUGUAUAUAUUCCAUUAACAGUACUAAAGAAUCUUUUGGCUGGUUAAUGUGAGUACAUCAACAGUAUAUAAUUUCCAUUUGUGUUCUUGAAUUGCUAGUUUAUCUUCUGAAAUUAUAUUUUCUUGACAUAUUUUCAUUGCCAAUGGCUCUAAUGCCAAUAAAGAAGAUGCACUGUUAUAAUAGGGAUCCAUUUACUGUCAUCUUGGCUUUGUGUUAUUUAUAAUUACUCUGCAUUCAUGUGAAAAAAAGUAGGGCCACAAUGUAUCAUUUUCAAAAUUGCUGGCAUAGACGACCAUUCUAAAUUAUCAAAAGCUUUUUCUGCAUCAAGAAAAAUCAUAGCCAUUUUCAUGCUUCUCUGGUUUAUCUUGUUGAUAACACAUAAAUACACCUGAUAUUGUCUCUCAUAUAUUUCUUUGGAACAGAUCAAAUCUGAUUAGGGUAUAUAAAUUGAGUUAAAAAUUGAUUUAUCAUCUUUGUAUUGCUGUAAAAAUCUUAUAAUCUAUAUUCAAUUAAGAAAAAGGUCUGUAUGAUUCUGGAUAGGUCCAGUGAUUUCCUUCUUUAUAAAUCAGAGAUAAAGGCUUCUUUCCAUGACAGAAGUUCUUCAUAUCAUUAUUUGAGCUACAGGUUUUACCAUAAUUUCUUGGAGAGUCUUAUAAUAAGUAAAUGUUUGAUUCUGCUCAGUAUGUUUUUAAUUAUAGUAAUCAAAUUGGUACUUUGGUAUUCAGGAAAUCUGUACAUCACUACCUGGGUCUUCAGUGAGAUGCUCAGGAGCCAUACUGUUCCCAUCAAACCAUUCCUUGGUAUGUGCCAAGUUCCCAGGCCGUAUCUAUUUUGUUGUUGUUGUUUAGAUUCUUCUAAUAAUUAAAAAGUGAAUGGAAUGCUAGCAUGCUGGAAAAAGUAUGAGCCUUCAGCAUAUUGUAAUUUGUAUUUUCAAUAAUGUCUUAGCCCCUUAUAGACUUCAAAAAAACCUUCAUGCAAGUAGUGGAUGAAUACAGCCGAGUUUUACUUGCUUUCUGAUACACAGACCUUCUGUCUCUUGCUGAACUCAUUAUGAAGCCAUUUUGUGAGAUUGCCUAACAUAUUCUCAGUAUUUAUAUUAUUAUGCAUAUAAUUUUAUGUUGAUUUUAAUCUUAUUAGUGCUUGGAGGCCUGUAGGCCACUUGGAAUCAGAUAUGAUAAGAGUGACAAGCAAGCCUAAUACAAGAAAUAAAUGAGUAAGAGCAGAGAUAUAAGCUUUAUUGUGCCAAGCACAAGGGAGUAAUAAAGUAAGACACACUACUGAUUAAAUUGCAAUUAUCUCAGCAGAUACAAGACCAUUCCACAGAAAGGGUGUUCUUGUAUCUCUUUUCACUCACCAUUGUUAAUGUAAAUUUUCUUUUAUGUGCAGCAGAGAUGGUGCUGUAGAAACCUGGCCUAAAACCAGCUUGUUCAAUACUACGUGUUUUUUUUUUUGGUAUCUUCUAAUCCAUUACUUUCACAUAAAGAAGCUUAGUAUAUAGUUUAUUUAUUGUCCUGGAUAUCAUUAGACCAUCUUAUUUCUCUCUCAUCCUUUUCUCGCCACUGUUCUGUUGGUGGAAUAAAGGGUGAUCUGGUGGGUUUCUAUCUGGUUGGGCCUGGGGAGGUUGGAUGAUGCCACAUCACUUUUCUAUCCUGGAGCUGGCUGCUGAAGAAUCACUACUGCUGGCAGCAUCUUGCCCCCACAGCCUCUUUCUCAUGGCUUUCUUUCUUACCCAUGCAGCUGCUUGAAAAGCUCUUAAUCUUUCUGCUCCAAUCGGGGGGGGGGGCAGUGCACCAGAAGCUCUAGCUGUUUUGAGCUCUGCUGUUGCUUACCUCCUUCCAGUUAGCUGAUCAGACUCUUCCCCUGGUCCUUUGGCUGCUCUCUUAGCAUAUCCACUUAGCCCUUUUGAUUUUGGCCUCCCAACAGCAUGCCAAUCAGCUGGCACAGAAUGCCAGGACACAUUUUCAUGCAGUUGUUGAUCGUCUUUCUUCGUUUCUUGGCUCCCAAAAUAGACCUGACGGGAAAGCUGAAAGCAGGGUGUAGGAGUGAAGGGAGAGAUUUUCUUCCACAAAUAUGUAGUCCUAAGCCCUGACUGCUAACAGAAGAGGCACUGUUAACUCUUUCCUGUCAGCUCCAUCUCUUAUCUCCAGUGAUUGAGAAUACAACCAUUUUAUUGCACUCUUGUUAUACAAUGCAUUUCAGACAUAGCAUAAAACAUCCACAGAGUAACAGACUGAAAUGCUAUAUUUCAUAUGCUGACAGCAGCAAGAAUCACAACACUGGAAAGGAGAAACAACACAAGGUUAGAAGACCAAAAUCUACGGCAAUGGAAAAAAUGAUUGUAUAUAUUCGUAACUGAUGUCUAACCAAAGUCAAGCAGGCUCCCUCAUAUACAACAUACUGCACAACAAGGCAAGAUCUUAAUGUAAGUUUUAUAAAAAAAAAACCUUUAGUUUAAAAACUAAAUUGAAAAUUAAUUAAACAGAAAAACUAAUUAAACAGAUCUAAAUAGAAAUGAGUUACAAGUGUAGAAGUUUAAAGCCUAGUAUAAAAAUACUUAAGUACCAGUUAGAAGUUGGGGGGGAAGAAAAGAAUAAAGGGGGGGGGGGCUGCUUGAAUGUUUUUUCUUAUAGACACACAUUUUCCCAUUUUUUAAUUUUCUUAAUCGUACUAAAUCUCAUCUUUUGAAUUCUCAUUUCAGCCCUCACUUGUGUAAACCAUAUGCAACAUUAUUUUUUUAAAAGUUCAAUAACAUAGAUGAGUUAGAGAUUCUACUAUGUAUGUAAUUAUAUGUAUGUAUUCUAUUAUUUUCCCUUUCUUUCUUUUUACUUAAAAAUUAUGUAAAAGAAAAAAAUACUGUAUUUCAAUUCUAAAUGGGUAGCGAUUUUAGUCUGUCAUAGUACAGAUUUACAGUACAUUAAUAAUGUUCAUAUUUCUUAUGGUAUAAGCUUCUAUGGACUCAAUGUAUUUGAUAAAGCAGACAGUACAAAACACUUACAUUUUAAUAAAAUUGUUUCCCAUUUUCAUUUUGUGCUUUCUAGAAAUCAAAUAGUAGGUGGACAUAAAUAGUUUGGCAAUGAGAAGAUGAACAGUGUUCAAAAGUGAGUGAUUUCUUAGUGUUAUGAUUCUUAGUCAUCUUUAUUCUCUUGACUAAAUAGAAAAUAAAUUUAACUGUGAGCCAUUGUAGUACAUAAAUCACAUGAAACGUUUAAAAUCAGCUUUACAACAAAUGUAGGUAACCUAUCAUGGUAUCUAUAAAAUCAAAUCAUAAACUUAAAGUUUCCCAUACAUCCUAUUGCCAAGCACUGAUAUGCAGACAUUCCGUUCCCUCACAAAUAUUUCUUACAUAAUCAAACUCUAAUAUGUAUGAAGUGAUGGUAGCUGGUAAAAACAGUUUUUAAGAAGAAAAUAUAUGUUACAGCAUUAAAAACAAUUGUUUUAUUGAAGCUGUUUUUAAAAAAUCAUGUGAGGCAAUAUAACAAUAAGAUCACAACUGGAAAGCAAGAACUGGCUUUAAAAAUAGACACAUUUAAACAAGAAAAACAUUUUACAAAAAAAA